rnacentral:ncRNA from 2 species
AUGAAUCACUAGGGGAGUCUUAAACAGACUGAGACAGAUAUGUUCUGGACCCUUUGAACUUGAUCCAGUUAGUGCUGGCGUAAGGAAGUGGCUGAAUUUAUGA